UACGUAGGCAGCGAGCGUUGUUCGGAGUUACUGGGCGUAAAGAGUGUGUAGGCGGUGCUCUAAGUUCGGUGUGAAAUCUCCCGGCUCAACUGGGAGGGUGCGCCGGAAACUGGAAUGCUUGAGCGUGGGAGAGGAAAGCGGAAUUCCUGGUGUAGCGGUGAAAUGCGUAGAUAUCAGGAGGAACACCUGCGGUGUAGACGGCUUUCUGGACCAUUGCUGACGCUGAGACACGAAAGCGUGGGUAGCAAACAGG
rnacentral:rRNA from 1 species